rnacentral:misc_RNA from 1 species
ACCCUUGUGGAGGAGGACGCCGAAGGUGGGGCUAAUGACUGGGGUGAAGUCGUAACAAGGUAGCCGUACCGGAAGGUGCGGCUGGAUCACCUCCUAACAGGGAGACAACAAAAUGUAAAUAUUAAUUUUGUCACCUUAGGUCGAUCGGUAUCUCAGAUUCUUAUUUUUUAAGAAUUUCAGUCUCUAAGUUUUUUCUAGGUCACACCCAUCACUUUUUCCUGGGCCAUUAGCUCAGGUGGUUAGAGCGCACCCCUGAUAAGGGUGAGGUCCCUGGUUCAAGUCCAGGAUGGCCCAUAUCUCUAUGUUGGGGGUAUAGCUCAGUUGGUAGAGCGCCUGCUUUGCAAGCAGGAUGUCAGCGGUUCGAGUCCGCUUACCUCCACUGAAUACCACCUCUUACAUAUAUUUAAAGAGGGAAAUUGUUUUGAGUUGUGUCCUAAUUUGCUCUGAGCGAAUCUAGCUUCCUAUUUAAUCAAUAAAUAAGAUGCUGGACUCAUUGAUUUUUUUCAUUGUUUUCAGAGAACCUUGACAACUGCAUAGAUUAUUUUUGAAGACAAUAAGCAUCUUUAAUGAUGCAGAUUUAUUAUUUGUGCGAAUGCAUUAAAUAACAAUUCUAUUAAGCUGAUGCUUCAAUUAUUGAAGUUAUUGGUCAAGCUACAAAGGGCUCACGGAGGAUACCUAGGCAC